UACGUAGGGGGCUAGCGUUGUCCGGAUUUAUUGGGCGUAAAGAGCGUGUAGGCGGCCAGGUAGGUCCGUUGUGAAAACUCGAGGCUCAACCUCGAGACGUCGGCGGAAACCAUCUGGCUAGAGUCCGGAAGAGGAGAGUGGAAUCCUGGUGUAGCGGUGAAAUGCGCAGAUAUCAGGAAGAACACCCGUGGCGAAGGCGGCUCUCUGGGACGGUACUGACGCUGAGACGCGAAAGCGUGGGGAGCAAACAG
rnacentral:rRNA from 1 species